rnacentral:rRNA from 1 species
AACGCGAAGAACCUUACCUGGGUUGAACUACGCAGGAAAAGCCGUAGAGAUACGGUGUCCGCAAGGGCCUGCGAUAGGUGGUGCAUGGCUGUCGUCAGCUCGUGUCGUGAGAUGUUGGGUUAAGUCCCGCAACGAGCGCAACCCUUGUCCUAUGUUGCCAGCGGGUAAUGCCGGGGACUCGUAGGAGACUGCCGGGGUCAACUCGGAGGAAGGUGGGGAUGACGUCAAGUCAUCAUGCCCCUUACGUCCAGGGCUGCACACAUGCUACAAUGGCCGGUACAAAGGGCUGCUAUUCCGCGAGGAUGAGCGAAUCCCAAAAAGCCGGUCUCAGUUCGGAUCGCAGUCUGCAACUCGACUGCGUGAAGUCGGAGUCGCUAGUAAUCCCGGAUCAGCAACGCCGGGGUGAAUACGUUCCCGGGCCUUGUACACACCGUAGUAC